UACGUAGGUUCCAAGCGUUAUCCGGAAUUACUGGGCGUAAAGGGUGCGUAGGCGGUGACCCCAGUCAAACACUAAAGCCAAUGGCUCAACCAUAUGGAUGAUGUUUGAUACUAGGUCACUAGAGUGCAAAAGAGGCAAGCGGAAUUAGUAGUGGAGCGGUAAAAUGCGUUGAGAUUACUAAGAACGCCAAUGGUGAAGACAGCUUGCUGGGUUGCAACUGACGCUGAGGCACGAAAGCGUAGGUAGCGAUCGGG
rnacentral:rRNA from 1 species